rnacentral:rRNA from 1 species
CCCAGACUCCUACGGGAGGCAGCAGUGGGGAAUAUUGGGCAAUGGGCGCAAGCCUGACCCAGCAACGCCGCGUGAAGGAAGAAGGCUUUCGGGUUGUAAACUUCUUUUGACAGGGAAGAGCAGAAGACGGUACCUGUCGAAUAAGCCACGGCUAACUACGUGCCAGCAGCCGCGGUAAUACGUAGGGAGCAAGCGUUGUCCGGAAUUACUGGGUGUAAAGGGAGCGUAGGCGGGAAUGCAAGUCAGAUGUGAAAACUAUGGGCUCAACCCAUAGCCUGCAUUUGAAACUGUAUUUCUUGAGUGCUGGAGAGGCAAUCGGAAUUCCGUGUGUAGCGGUGAAAUGCGUAGAUAUACGGAGGAACACCAGUGGCGAAGGCGGAUUGCUGGACAGUAACUGACGCUGAGGCGCGAAAGCGUGGGGAGCAAACAGGAUUAGAUACCCCGGUAGUA